CACGUAGGGCGCGAGCGUUGUCCGGAAUUAUUGGGCGUAAAGAGCUCGUAGGCGGCCUGUUGCGUCCGCUGUGAAAGCCCGGGGCUUAACCCCCGGGGUCGGCAGUGGAUACGGGCAGGCUAGAGGUAGGUAGGGGAGAAUGGAAUUCCCGGUGUAGCGGUGAAAUGCGCAGAUAUCGGGAGGAACACCGGUGGCGAAGGCGGUUCUCUGGGCCUUACCUGACGCUGAGGAGCGAAAGCGUGGGGAGCGAACAGG
rnacentral:rRNA from 1 species